CACGUAGUUAGCCGGGGCUUCUUACUCAGGUACCGUCAUUUUCUUCCCUGCUGAUAGAGCUUUACAUCACGAAUGACCUCUUCACUCACGCGGCGUUGCUGCAUCAGGGUUUCCCCCAUUGUGCAAUAUUCCCCACUGCUGCCUCCCGUAGGAGUUUGGGCCGUGUCUCAGUCCCAAUGUGGCCGUUCACCCUCUCAGGCCGGCUACUGAUCGUCGCCUUGGUGGGCUUCUACCCCGCCAACCAGCUAAUCAGACGCGGAUCCAUCUUACACCACCGGAGUUUUUCACACUGAGCCAUGCGGCUCCGUGCGCUUAUGCGGUAUUAGCACCUAUUUCUAAGUGUUAUCCCCCAGUGCAAGGCAGGUUAUCCACGCGUUACUCACCCGUCCGCCACUAAGUUACGAAUCACUAGGUUUCAUCGUAACUCCGUUCGACUUGCAUGUGUUAGGCACGCCGCCAGCGUUCAUCCUGAGCCAGGAUCAAACUCU
rnacentral:rRNA from 1 species